rnacentral:rRNA from 1 species
UACGUAGGGUGCAAGCGUUGUCCGGAAUUAUUGGGCGUAAAGAGCUCGUAGGCGGUGUGUCGCGUCGGUCGUGAAAACUUUCAGCUUAACUGGGAGCUUGCGGUCGAUACGGGCAUCACUGGAGUUCGGCAGGGGAGACUGGAAUUCCUGGUGUAGCGGUGAAAUGCGCAGAUAUCAGGAGGAACACCGGUGGCGAAGGCGGGUCUCUGGGCCGAUACUGACGCUGAGGAGCGAAAGCGUGGGGAGCGAACAGG